rnacentral:rRNA from 1 species
UUAUACCGUGAAACUGCGAAUGGCUCAUUAAAUCAGUUAUCGUUCAUUUGAUAGUACCUUACUACUUGGAUAACCGUGGUAAUUCUAGAGCUAAUACAUGCUGAAAACCCCGACUUCGGGAGGGGUGUAUUUAUUAGAUAAAAAACCAAUGCCCUUCGGGGCUCCUGGUGAUUCAUGAUAACUAAACGGAUCGCAUGGCCUUGCGCCGGCGACGGUUCAUUCAAAUUUCUGCCCUAUCAACUUUCGAUGGUAAGGUAUUGGCUUACCAUGGUUUCAACGGGUAACGAAGGAUUAGGGUUCGAUCUCGGAGAGGGAGCCUGAGAAACGGCUACCACAUCCAAGGAAGGCAGCAGGCGCGCAAAUUACCCAAUCCCGACACGGGGAGGUAGUGACAAUAAAUACUGAUACAGGGCUCUUUUGGGUCUUGUAAUUGGAAUGAGUACAAUUUAAACCCCUUAACGAGGAACAAUUGGAGGGCAAGUCUGGUGCCAGCAGCCGCGGUAAUUCCAGCUCCAAUAGCGUAUAUUAAAGUUGUUGCAGUUAAAAAGCUCGUAGUUGAACCUUGGGCCUGGCUGGCCGGUCCGCCUCACCGCGUGCACUGGUCCGGCCGGGCCUUUCCUCCUGGAGAGCCCCAUGCCCUUCACUGGGUGUGCGGGGGAACCAGGACUUUUACUUUGAAAAAAUUAGAGUGUUCAAAGCAGGCCUUUGCUCGAAUACAUUAGCAUGGAAUAAUAGAAUAGGACGUGCGGUCCUAUUUUGUUGGUUUCUAGGAUCGCCGUAAUGAUUAAUAGGGAUAGUCGGGGGCAUCCGUAUUCAAUUGUCAGAGGUGAAAUUCUUGGAUUUAUUGAAGACGAACUACUGCGAAAGCAUUUGCCAAGGAUGUUUUCAUUAAUCAGUGAACGAAAGUUAGGGGAUCGAAGACGAUCAGAUACCGUCGUAGUCUUAACCGUAAACUAUGCCGACUAGGGAUCGGGCGAUGUUACUAUUUUGACUCGCUCGGCACCUUACGAGAAAUCAAA